GAUGAACGCUGGCGGCGUGCUUAACACAUGCAAGUCGAACGGAAAGGCUCCUGCUUGCAGGGGUACUCGAGUGGCGAACGGGUGAGUAACACGUGGGUGAUCUGCCCUGCACUUCGGGAUAAGCCUGGGAAACUGGGUCUAAUACCGGAUAGGACGAUGGUUUGGAUGCCAUUGUGGAAAGUUUUUCGGUGUGGGAUGAGCUCGCGGCCUAUCAGCUUGUUGGUGGGGUAAUGGCCUACCAAGGCGUCGACGGGUAGCCGGCCUGAGAGGGUGUACGGCCACAUUGGGACUGAGAUACGGCCCAGACUCCUACGGGAGGCAGCAGUGGGGAAUAUUGCACAAUGGGCGCAAGCCUGAUGCAGCGACGCCGCGUGGGGGAUGACAGCCUUCGGGUUGUAAACUCCUUUCGCUAGGGACGAAGCGCAAGUGACGGUACCUGGAGAAGAAGCACCGGCUAACUACGUG
rnacentral:rRNA from 1 species